GUGUCAGCCGCCGCGGUAAGACGAACCGUCCAAACGUUAUUCGGAAUCACUGGGCUUAAAGGGUGCGUAGGCGGCUUCGCAAGUUGGGUGUGAAAGCCCUCGGCUUAACCGAGGAAUGGCGCCCAAAACUGCGGAGCUCGAGGAAGAUAGAGGUGAGCGGAACUUAGGGUGGAGCGGUGAAAUGUGUUGAUAUCCUAAGGAACACCAGUAGCGAAAGCGGCUCACUGGGUCUUUUCUGACGCUGAGGCACGAAAGCUAGGGGAGCGAACGGGAUUAGAAACCCCAGUAGUCC
rnacentral:rRNA from 1 species